AGACCAGGCCUCACUAAGCUCCUGAGGCUGGCCUCAAGCUUAGGAUCCUCCUGCUUCAGUCUCAGCCUCCUGAGUUGCCGGGAUCACAGGCCUGGCCAUGUGCCCGGCUUGAAAAACAAAUUUAAAAGUAAAAAAAAAAAAAAAAAAAAAAGCCUUUUAGGUUCUUUUUUUUAAUAUUUAUUUUUAGUUCUCAGCGGACACAGCAUCUUUGUUGGUAUGUGGUGCUGAGGCUCGAACCCGGGCCGCACGCAUGCCAGGCGAGCGUGCCACCGCUCGAGCCACAUCCCCAGCCCCUCCUUUUGGUUUUUAAUUAUUUUUUGACACGGGAUCUGUCUGUGCUGCUCGGUCUGCUCUCCGACUCCUGGGCUGAAGAGUCGUGGCUAUUUCAUUCGGGCAGGAUGGCUCAGGAGGCUGGGGCAGGGGGGCCUCCAGUCCAAGGUCAGCCUGGGCAACUGAGUCAGAACAUUUCAAAUCUCAAAUCCUGUCUCACCCUCCCUGGUUGGCGCUGCAGGCACCUGCCUUGCAUGACACAAGACACUUCUUUACCACCCGGCUGAUCCAUCUAUCCACUCACCCACCCACCCAUCCACCCACGCUAGGGACGGAACCCAGGGCCUUGCGCGUGCGGGACGAGCGCUCUACCAACUGAGCUGCGUCCCCAGCCCCUAUUUAUUUUUUUGGUUCUGGGGAUUGAACUCAGGGGCCCUCGACCACUGAGCCACACCCAGCCCCGUUGUGCAUUGUAUUUGGAGACGGAGUCGCACUCAGUGGCUUAGCACCUUGCUGUUGCGGAGGCUGGUUUGAGCUCUCCAUCCUCCUACCUUAGACUCUGAGCCACUGGGAUGCGCCCACACCUGGCCCCUGUUUAUUUUUGGUGUGUGUGUGUGUGUGUGUGUGUGUGUCUAGGUAGAUGGACCUUUAGGUUACUUAUUUACUCAUUCGCACGUGGUGCUGGGAAUCAGACCCAGGGCCUGACGGGUGCUAGGCAAGCGCUUUGCCACUGAGCUACACCCUCAGCCUCUUCAAUUAUUAUUAUUUUUUAACUUGAAAGGGUUUCAUUAAAUGGCCCAGGCUGACCUUGAACUUGAGACCCUCCUGUCUCAGCCUCCUGAGUCGCUGGGAUGACUGAAACAACAUCAUUUUAAACACCCACGGGACCUGCCUGCCCUGACCCUGUUCACAGGGCCUCCCAGCCCUUAGCCCCAUGCGGGAGCCCUGGCCACCUGUGAGGGGCUGUUGAAGUCGCUGAGGCAUCAGGCCCUGGAACACGGGCUCCCCAGGGACACACAGCCGCCAUGGUUCCAGUCGGCCUCUCCCGGGCAGAGGCCAGCCGGCGGAGGAGGACGCCCAGGCCGCAGGGCGGGUCUGCAGGGUCACCUCACCCCACAGCGGAGCCGGGGUCUGCCAGGUGACUUACCUGCAGCACAAAGCCACGCACAGGCUCCGUGCGCCCAGUGGUCAGCGCUGGCCUGGCAGCGUGAGGCCCCAGUCCCCUCCCAGCACC